rnacentral:tRNA from 1 species
GCGGAGGUUGCCCAGCCAGGUUAAAGGCGCUAGGUUGAGGAUCUCGUAGGAGUUCGCGAGUUAAAAUCUCGCCCUCCGCACCA